CUCUACCUCUUCACUAAGUUUUCAACGUAGUUAAGUGAACAUUCUGCAGUGUUUAUUAUUAAGAAAGAGAAAAAACUGGGGAAGUAUGGAAAAAAAAGCCCAUCACAAUUGCUGGCACCUCCGUCUUCUCUGCUCAUAGCUAUGAUUCUCAAAACAGCUGUCCACAUUCACUGUCGUUUGUUACUCCCACUUAGCCCUUAACCCUGACCCAUUUGGAUUCAACCCUGUGACACCAUCGAAAUAGAUCUUCCCAGCUUCCAGGGACCUUGAGCAAUAAGACUCAGCCCCAUCUCACUUGACUUCUGAGCCUCAGCUUACGGGCCGCUCCCUCCUUGAAAGGUUCUCUUCCCAUCUCGUCACAGCUCUGGAGUCUCCUGAGCAAGAUCCUUCUCCAGCGGCUCCCAGGGUUGGAGUUGGCUCACAGCGUGGUCCUGGUUACCCUCAAGCGCACUGUCUCCAGGGCCCUCCUCCAUGCCCAGACCCGCAGCUCUUCACACUUGCUCCUGAGCUCUCAGGGGUGCUUGCCAGCCCCUCCAUCUCUACAGGUCCCAAAUGUGCUCAUGUUCUCCCAGCUGUGUUUCUCUCCCGAUGCCUUUGUUUCCAUUAUUCAUCCAGUCAUGACAGCCAGACACCCAGAAAAUCUGCUUUGUCCUGCCUCUCCCAUUCCUGCACCCCCACCGACCACCAGGGCUUGUGUACUUGACCUCUUCUGUUUCUUUGGGCUCAGUCAGUUGUCCAUCUCUACUCCCAUUCUCCUCAUUGUCUACACUGCAGCUCAAGUGAUUGUUUCCAAACAAAAAACCUGCUCAGGUUUAGCACCUUUUAGAAAAGCUGGGAGAGGUUUGGGUGGCUCGGAUGCUGGGGUACCUGGAGAAGUGGGGCCAGUGAAAAUCACUUGGGCUUUUUUAUUUGAGAUCUGCCUUGGGUGUUGUGCAUAAAGUAUAAGAAUAGAAGUUGUAUUUCUGACAAUGAGGAAAUGUUCAAAAGAUUUUUUGUAUGAAAAUGUAGCAUUGUGUAGUUCACAUUUUAAAAAAAAUGGUUGUGACCCCAGAGAAACUGACUUGGAGGCAGGAAGAGAGCACAGAAUGGAUAGGGGUUGGGGGUCAGCCACUCAGGUUGUCAGGUGGAUUGGGACAAAAGGGUGGACUCAGUCCACUGAAGCAGUGAAUGUGCACAUGAACUAUCUCUCUGAUGCACAUUUCCACAGCAUUUCCCUGGUCCACGAAGCAUGGACGAGGCACCCCUCUGCCCCUCUUGGAGUGAGGCCUCUGGCCUGCUGCCUAGAGCCAGUGAGCAGGUGGGUGAGACUGCACAGCAGCACCGUGUGGAAUGUUUUU
rnacentral:lncRNA from 1 species